UACGAAGGGGGCUAGCGUUGCUCGGAAUCACUGGGCGUAAAGCGCACGUAGGCGGCUCCAAAAGUCGGAUGUGAAAUCCCUGGGCUCAACCGAGGAAGUGCAUCCGAAACUGCGGAGCUUGAGUAUGGAAGAGGGUCGCGGAAUUCCCGGUGUAGAGGUGAAAUUCGUAGAUAUCGGGAGGAACACCAGUGGCGAAGGCGGCGACCUGGGCCAAUACUGACGCUGAGGUGCGAAAGCGUGGGGAGCAAACAGG
rnacentral:rRNA from 1 species